GAUGAACGCUGGCGGCGUGCUUAACACAUGCAAGUCGAACGGAAAGGCUCCUGCUUGCAGGGGCACUCGAGUGGCGAACGGGUGAGUAACACGUGGGUGAUCUGCCCUGCACUUCGGGAUAAGCCUGGGAAACUGGGUCUAAUACCGGAUAGGACGAUGGUUUGGAUGCCAUCGUGGAAAGUUUUUUCGGUGUGGGAUGAGCUCGCGGCCUAUCAGCUUGUUGGUGGGGUAAUGGCCUACCAAGGCGUCGACGGGUAGCCGGCCUGAGAGGGUGUACGGCCACAUUGGGACUGAGAUACGGCCCAGACUCCUACGGGAGGCAGCAGUGGGGAAUAUUGCACAAUGGGCGCAAGCCUGAUGCAGCGACGCCGCGUGGGGGAUGACGGCCUUCGGGUUGUAAACUCCUUUCGCUAGGGACGAAGCGCAAGUGACGGUACCUGGAGAAGAAGCACCGGCUAACUACGUG
rnacentral:rRNA from 1 species